rnacentral:rRNA from 1 species
UACAGAGGUCCCAAGCGUUGUUCGGAUUCACUGGGCGUAAAGGGUGCGUAGGUGGUGAGGUAAGUCGGAUGUGAAAGCUCGGAGCUCAACUCCGAAAUGGCAUUGGAAACUACCUUGCUCGAGGGUUGGAGGGGGGACUGGAAUACUUGGUGUAGCAGUGAAAUGCGUAGAUAUCAAGUGGAACACCAGUGGUGAAGGCGAGUCCCUGGACAACUCCUGACCACUGAGGCACGAAAGCUAGGGGAGCAAACAGG